rnacentral:tRNA from 1 species
AGGCGCUUAGCUCAGUGGGAGAGCACUGCCUUGACUCGGCAGGGGCCAACGGUUCGACCCCGUUAGCGCCUACCA